GCCACUGUGUAUUUAUGUACAUAAUAAGGCAGCUCGUCCCCUCCACUUCAUUUGCAUCAUUACAAUAUCUGUACAAGCACAUCACAUUGUCUGUUGCUUGCACCUUUUGUUACGGUUGCUGUCACAGUCUACGCGACUUGACUUUCAUAUUUUAAAUGAAUUGAUAUUAUACCAACAACACACACUCGCAUUCCAGGCACUGGGAAUCCGGCUCCGGCUGGCUCCCGAGCCGCUCGCUUCUUCCACCGCCUCCAAGGAAGGUGGGGUGAGGGGAGCCACUUUGCAGGAUCAAUUAUUCGUAUAAAUUAUUCCUAUUCGUAUUAAUUUGGUUUCCACUCCCGUGCGAGGGGAAUGUUUGGGGGUUUCUGGAUUUAUAUUUUUCCUUUUUCGUAUUGGCCAGCCUGGCUUUCGUAUAACCUCGUGUUUCUUCUCCCCCCUCUCCCUUCCCAAACUCAGUCUUUCGGGCUAUGCACCUGCAAGUAGGAGAAGCAGCGGAGAAGCUGAAAGAGGCGCAAGCAGCUAUUUCGCCAGGAAUCGUUGUUGUAGCUAGGAAAGUAACGGUAAAACACACAUAGGAAAACCAGCCAGAACGAAUGGGUUUGGAAACGUUUGCGCUCCCCAGCCCCGGCUCUGCAGUCCUCACCUGACGGGUAUUUUGCUCCCGGAAGAGGGAGACGCUGCCGCCAGCCGCGCCUGGGAUCGCCCCUGCACGGAACGACUCCAGACCGAGGGAUCAUCGCUCGGGCGGAAAAACUACGGGAAAAGCGGGGUUUGAAUCCUGCAGAUAGUUCCCCGCGCGGGGACAAACGAGGGCGGCAGCGCCGGGGCUCGGGGGGGCUGAGACCGGCGGAGCGCGGGGCCCCGCUCGCCCGGGCUGUCCCGGGCUGCCCCGGGCCAGGGCCAUCCACCGAGUGCCACCAACGGCAUUGGGGCCGGAGGGGCGCGGGUGCGAUUUGCCCCUCUUUCCCACUGGAGGAGAAGGAUGUUUUCCUCUGCUCUUUAGCUUUCCUACUAAAGAUGUCAUUUGAAAGUCUGGGAGGGAAAGGGGACCGUGCUCUGCUUCUUCCACGGUAACAACCGUAUUCUGCAUAUCGAACAAUACAACAGACAGUGGGAAAAGCUGAAACCCCCCGAAAAAAAAGAGGG